CUGAUCCCAUUCGACUGAACGCUAUGGAUAAGCUACACGUGUCGAACGGCAGCACGGACUUCGGUCUGGUGGCGAGUGGCGAACGGCAAGAGUAUCGUAUCGACCUAGUAGCGGGGGAUAAUCCACAGCGAAAGCGUAGCUUAAAUGCACAUUGCUCCUUCGGGGGAAAGCGGGGGACCUUCGGGCCUCGCACUAUUGUAGAGCGGCCGAUAUCGGAUUAGCUAGUUGGUGGGGUAACGGCUCACCAAGGCGACGAUCCAGGGUUGUCGAGACGACCAGCCACACUGGGACUGAGACACGGCCCAGACUCCUACGGGAGGCAGCAGUGGGGAAUUUUGACAAUGGGGAAACUCCUGAUCCAGCCAUCCCUUUCUUCACCUGUUGGCAGGUGAUGAAGGCCUCAAGUUGUAAAGCACUUUUGGCAGGAAGAAACGGCAUCAGAUAAUACCUGCAACUGACGGUACUGCAGAUUACACCACUAACAUGUGCCAGCAGCCGCGGUAAUACGUAGGGGUGUUAACGUAAUCAUUGGUAAAGCGCAGCAGGCGGUCAAAAGAAAGAUGGGAAAUCCUGCAGAUGCACUGGAACUGUGACGGAACUACUGAGUUGAGAGUGUGUCGGAGGAGGUGAACCGCGUAGCAGUGAAAUGCGUAGAUAUGUGGAUAACACCGAUGGCGAAGGCAGCCUCCUGGGAUAACACUGACGCUCAUGCACGCAAGAGCAAACAGGAUUAGAUACUCCUGGUAGUCCACGCCCUAAACAUGUCAACUAGCUGCUGGGGCCUUCGGGCUCGGUAGCGCAGCUAACGCAGGAAGUUGACCGUCUGGGGAGUACGGUCGCAAGAUUAAAACCUGUGCCGAAUUGACGGGGACCCGCACAAGCGACGAGGUGGACGACCCGAUGCAGCUGCGAAACCCUACCUACCCUUUGAUACAAGUCUGGAAUCCCGAAGAGAUUUGGGAGUGUCGUAAGAGAACCGGGACACAGGUGCUGCAUGGCUGUCGUCAGCUCGUGUCGUGAGAUGUUGGGUUAAGUCCCGCAACGCCGCAACCUUGUCAUUAGUUGCUACGAAAGGGCACUCUAAUGAGACUGCCGGUACGGCCUGAGGGAAGGUGGGGAUGACGUCAAGUCUCAUGGCCCUUAUGGGUAGGGCUUCACGUCAUACAAUGGUCGGGACAGAGGGUCGCCAACCCGCGAGGGGAGCCGUCCCAGAAACCGAUCGGGUCCGGAUCGCAGUCUGCAACUCGACUGCGUGAAGCCGGAAUCGCCAGUAAUCGCGGAUCAGCAUGUCGUGCGCAGGUGAAUACGUCUCUGGGUCUGUACACACCGCCUGUCACACCAUGGGAGUGGGUUUUACCAGAAGUAGUUAGCCUAACCGUAAGGAGGGCGAUUACCACGGUAGGAUUCAUGACUGGGGUGGUCGUAACAAGGUAG
rnacentral:rRNA from 1 species